rnacentral:rRNA from 1 species
GAUGAACGCUGGCGGCGUGCCUAAUACAUGCAAGUCGAGCGAACGGAUGAGAAGCUUGCUUCUCUGAUGUUAGCGGCGGACGGGUGAGUAACACGUGGAUAACCUACCUAUAAGACUGGGAUAACUUCGGGAAACCGGAGCUAAUACCGGAUAAUAUUUUGAACCGCAUGGUUCAAAAGUGAAAGACGGUCUUGCUGUCACUUAUAGAUGGUUCCGCGCUGCAUUAGCUAGUUGGUAAGGUAACGGCUUACCAAGGCAACGAUGCAUAGCCGACCUGAGAGGGUGAUCGGCCACACUGGAACUGAGACACGGUCCAGACUCCUACGGGAGGCAGCAGUAGGGAAUCUUCGGCAAUGGGCGAAAGCCUGACGGAGCAACGCCGCGUGAGUGAUGAAGGUCUUCGGAUCGUAAAACUCUGUUAUUAGGGAAGAACAUAUGUGUAAGUAACUGUGCACGUCUUGACGGUACCUAAUCAGAAAGCCACGGCUAACUACGUG